CGGCAACAGCUCAAAUUUGAAAUCUGGCCCCAGGCCCGAGUUGUAAUUUGCAGAGGAUGCUUUUGGCGCGGUGCCUUCCGAGUUCCCUGGAACGGGACGCCAUAGAGGGUGAGAAUCCCGUCUA
rnacentral:rRNA from 1 species